UACGAAGGGGGCUAGCGUUGCUCGGAAUCACUGGGCGUAAAGCGCACGUAGGCGGCUUUCUAAGUUAGGGGUGAAAUCCUGGAGCUCAACUCCAGAACUGCCUUCGAUACUGGCGAUCUUGAGUCCGGAAGAGGUGAGUGGAACUCCUAGUGUAGAGGUGGAAUUCGUAGAUAUUAGGAAGAACACCAGUGGCGAAGGCGGCUCACUGGUCCGGUACUGACGCUGAGGUGCGAAAGCGUGGGGAGCAAACAGG
rnacentral:rRNA from 1 species